GUGCUGAUUUCAGCAGCACAUAUUCUAAAACUGGAACAAUACAAAGAUUAGCAUGCUCCUUGUUCAAGUAUGACCCACACAUUCAUGAAGUUUUCUAUAUUUUA